UUGGUCAGUCUUUGCCUACGUCAUUGAAUAUCCGGCUCCAUGAUCAACUCCAUCAGACUUCCUUCUUCGUUCAUUCUUUCUUUGGUCGUGUUUCUCCAAUGGUGGACUCGUGAAGGCGAGGCGUCUAUUUUCUAGUUUUCAGGUAUAUAUUGAAUCACAAUGGUGAACAAGCGGAUCCCGUCCGUGUUUAGUAAGACGUACGUGACUCCGCGUCGUCCUUACGAGAAGGCACGUCUCGAACAGGAGUUGAAGAUCAUCGGAGAGUAUGGACUCCGUAACAAGCGCGAGGUGUGGAGAGUCAAAUACGCCCUGGCCAAGAUCCGUAAGGCCGCUCGUGAGCUGUUGACUCUGGAAGAGAAGGACCAGAAACGUUUGUUUGAAGGUAACGCCCUGUUGCGUCGUCUGGUGCGUAUUGGAGUGUUGGACGAAGGAAGAAUGAAGCUCGAUUACGUGUUGGGUUUGAAAAUUGAAGAUUUCCUUGAACGUCGUCUCCAGACUCAGGUGUACAAACUCGGUUUGGCCAAGUCCAUCCAUCACGCCCGUGUCCUCAUCAGACAAAGACAUAUCAGGUGAUUGAUUGGAGAGCUAACUUUUGGUAGAAAUUGUACCUAUUCUGUCAGACCACUGGUAGAUUGGCGUGCCAAUCUCAACGUCUGUACCAACCAAAACCAACUCACUCUGGUAUCGUGUUUGACCUUGAAAGUGAGGUCAAAUCUUUGAAUAUUCUGUCAGGCCACUUGAGAUUGAGUUGUACUCGUCUCAACGCCUGGUGUCACUGCAAGUGUGACUAGAAAUGCACCAAGAGUGCGCAAACAGGUGGUUAACAUUCCAAGCUUUGUGGUGCGCCUGGACUCGCAGAAGCACAUUGACUUCUCGCUGAAGUCGCCGUUCGGCGGUGGCCGACCCGGUCGCGUCAAGAGGAAGAACUCGAAGAAGGGAACUGGAGGCGCCGCUCAGGAUGACGAGGAAGAUUAAGCUGUGCACCUCGUGAUUCAUGAUCAUUAAAUGGUUAUGAAUU